CAAAUUUGUUUCGUUUUUUUGUGGGGGCAAAUUUUAAUCCCUUAUUUAAUAAGGUGAUUUGUGCAGGUGUGAGAAUUAUUUGACUCAGAUUAACAAUAUUACUCUGGUCUGUAUUUAAUAGUGUCUCUUAGAAACAUAGAGACAUAGAA